AUGCUAGGACAGCAUAAUCAAACGUUUUUCUUUCCUAAUCUUCAAACCUCUCUCCAGCCAUCCCUGCAAACACCACUCCGACGCGAUUCCGGCCGGCCUGCUACUAUCUCCGACGCAAUCCGCCGCCUCCAAACGGAAACCAUACGCAUUCACCUGCAUCUAACUCGCCAGCAACUCCGCCCGAAACCCAUUGCGGCUGGAAUGAAGAACAAGGCAGAGAGGAGAAGAACAUGUCACUGA